rnacentral:tRNA from 1 species
GGUCGUGUGGUGUAGUGGUUAUCACUCCUGCUUUACAUUUAGGUGUCAUUCGCAGGCAAUCGCCGGUUCAAACCCGGCCACGAUCA